rnacentral:piRNA from 1 species
UCUCACUGAAGCUUUCUACACUGCA